CUUCACCGAGCCCAGCAGCAGCGGGAGUUCACGCUCCUGCCCGUAGACGGCGAGCAGCGCCUGGGCCUC
rnacentral:antisense_RNA from 1 species